rnacentral:lncRNA from 1 species
ACUCUGUCACCCAGGCUGGAGUGCAGUNNNNNNNNNNCAAAGUGCUGGGAUUACAGGUGUGAGUCACCACGCCUGGCCAGUUUUUCUGUUUUCUCUAUGAAAUAUCUGUGCCCUCUACCCAAUCUUGGAACUUCCAGAUGUCAGGUUUUUCUGUUUUUUCUGCGGGUUGAGGAUAAAUUCCUACCUAAGGUGAUUCUCAGGAGAUGUGGGUGGGACCCUCUGCUUUGAGGGAGGCCUAGGUGCCAAGGAGUCUUAAUAGAGCGGAGUAGGCGGGGCCUGGGGUAUUCCGAAAGGAUCUGCCUGGAGGAGUGGCCCGGGAAAUCGGGACCAACGACGGCACUGGCGAGAUGGUGGCGGUGAAAGCCCUCAAGGCAG